UAUAUGCAUGCGAGUGUGUGCCUGUGCUUAUAUCUCUUUGACGAGCUCUACUCGCCUGUUUUGUUCGCGUCAACAACUGAACUCAAUAUGGAAUAAAAAAUUAUUGUUAAUUUCAGUUUCAGUUCGGUGCUGGCGCGCAACAGUCCAAGCGAUCGGUGAAAACGAAAUUAUAUUCAUAAACACAAACGCACAUACAUAUAUAAAUAGCUAAUACAGCAUAUACUACAUAUAGUUGGUGUCUGAUAUUUUGAAGAUGAACAAAAACAUCGGCUUUGUUGAGCGGCUGCGCUGGCGUUUGAAAUCAAGUACCUCGCUUGUUUAAGUUCUGGCCAUCGGUUGCUCUAUUCAUUAGCUCACUAACUUACUUGUCUGUCUGACUCAAUCAACAUUUUUCUUUGAACAUGUCAACAUUUAUUUCUGUGGAAUAUGAUGCCAACAGCACCUUGAUAAUCAAUAAACGUAUAUAGGUAUAUGAAGUGUUGUUAUAUCAGGUUUAUUUCGUUUCAAAUAUAGAUACUAUAUUUAUUCA